rnacentral:lncRNA from 1 species
AAAAAAUAAAAUAGUGAAUAUAUUUAUUUUAAAUGGUAUUUUAAUCAUUAAAUUAUUUACUUCUAAAAUGUAAACGAUAAAAAUAAAUAUAAAAGAUAAUUUUUAUUUAUUUAAAUUAAUAUUUUUUUUAAAGUAUUUUCUAAAAUAGUCUUUGAAUCAUUAAUAUAAUUUUUGUUUAUUUAUAAUUUAAAAAUAAAAAAUAAUGUAAUUUUUCAAUUAUUUAUAAAAGAGUUUUAAAAAAAUGAAAAAUCUAAAAAUGGUUAAAUAAGAAAGAAGAGUGGCAAGUAGUAGAAUAAAGACAAAAAUGAGUCAAGUGGGUAUUUUUGUCAAUUACUAUCUCAUAUCCUUGGACUUAAAUAUGGGUGGUUGGAGGACCAAAUGUUAAUUUUUGGGCUCAACUGGGCCCAAAACACAAUUCUCCCUUUUUUAAUUUUGAAGACUAGGAUGGAGGAUAUUCUAUAUUGCAAAGAGUUGUUUGAUCUCAUUAAAUGCAGGGGUUAUAACCCAGUUACUACAACCGAGGAUGAGUGUAAGAAAUUAAACAGGAAAAUCAUUGGACAGAUUAAGCUGUGGGUUGAUCAAAGUGUCUUCCAUCAUGUAGCCAAGGAAGUUGAUGCAUAAGGAUUGUAAUAGUGUUGCAGAGCAUCUUAGUAAUUUUCAGGGACUGUUGAAUGAGUUGUCUACCAUGAAGCUUGAGCUAGAUGAUAAGGUACAUGCUUUCCUUUUGUUGAAUUCCUUAUCAGACAAUUGGGAAACUUUGGUAGCAUCCUUGAGUAAUUCAACCCCAAAUGGUGUGAUAACUGUCAACAUGAUAAAAGACAACAUGUUUAAUGAAAAGGCAAGAAGAAAAGAGUUAGUUAUUUCCUCUAAUACAAAAACACUUGUUACAAAGAGACGAGAAAGAAGUAAAAGCAGAAAACCUUCUAGUGAUUACAAUCGUGACAAGUCAAGAGGAAAGUCAAAGUCCAGGAAAAAAAUAAAGUGUUUUUAUUGUGGCAAGUCAUGGCACAUUAAGAGAGAGUGCAGAAAAUUCAGAAGAGAACAGUUUAAAGGAAAAUGUGAAGAACAAAAAGAGGAUAAAGACAUUGCAACAACUACAUCUGAUGUUGAUAUGAUCAUUGUUUGUGAUGAUGCGUGUGUUAACCUUGCAUGUCAGGAUUCCACUUGGGUAGUUGAUACAACAGUAUCGUUUCAUAUCAUUGCACAUAAAGAUUUCUUCUUUUCCUACACCAGUGACAAUUUUGGUUGGGUUAGGAUGGGAAAUGAAGCAAAAUGUGAAAUUGUUGGCAUGGGAGAUGUAGAACUAGAAACUAGCAUUGGGUGCAAAUUGGUUCUGAAAUAUGUUAGACAUGUUCAUGAAAUGCGCUUUAGUUUGAUCUCUGUUAGGAAGCUUGAUGAUAAGGGUUACCAUAGUCAUCUUGGAGAGAGUAAGUGAAAGCUUACUAAGGGUUCUCUUGUUUUAGCUAGAAAGAAGAAAAACAAUACUUUCUACAAGAUAGAAGUGAGACUAGUUAAGGGAGAGGUGAACAUUGUUGAGAAUGAAGCCUUUACUAAGCUAUGGCAUAAGCGGCUUGGUCACAUAAGUGAAAAGGGACUUCAGGUUCUUGCCAUAAAGAAGCUUCUACCAGUUAAAGGUAUGUCAAUAUUACCUUGUACACAUUGUCUGUCUGGAAAGCAAAGUAGAGUUGCAUUUCGUAGAUUUCCUUCACAUAGAAAACCAAAUAUUCUUAAUUUAGUUCACAUUGAUGUUUGUACUAUGCAAAGUAAUACUCUUGGUGGUGCACUUUAUUAUGUGACUUUUAUUGAUGAUCAUUUAAGAAAGGUGUGGGCAUAUGCUUUGAAAUCCAAAGACUAGGUACUUGAUGUAUUCAAAGAUUUUCAUGUGAAGGUUGAGAGGCAAAUUGGCAAGCAGUUAAAAUCUGUCAAAGCAGACAAUGGUGCUGAAUAUAGGGGCCAUUUGAGCAAUACUGUAGAAGUCAUCGCAUUAGGCUUGAGAAGACGGUUCCUAAGACCCCGCAACAAAAUGGUGUAGUUGAGAGAAUGAAUAGAACCAUUUGCGAUAGAAUCAGGUGUAUGCUUUCUCACGCAAAAUUACCUAAGUCUUUUUGGGGUGAGGCCAUGAGGAUAGCCGUUAAUUUGAUUAAUUUGUUUUCAUCAUAUACUUUAAAGGGCGAUAUUCCAGAGAGGGUUUGGAUAGUAAAAUUUGUUUCCUUUGAGCAUUUGAGAGUGUUUGGUUGUUGGGCAUUUGUUCAUGUUCCUAGAGACAAGCGGUCCAAGCUUAAUAGCAAGACUAAAUAGUGUAUCUUCCUGGGUUUAUUCAAAUGAAGAGUUUGGGUACAAGUUGUGGGAUCUAGCUACCAAAAAGAUUAUAAAAAGCAGAGAUGUUGUCUUAUUUGAAGAUCAAACCAUUGAAGAUUUGGAUCAGGUUAAGAAGCCAAAGCCUUUUAGUGAAGAACACGUUGAUUUGGGUCCAAUCUCUCCUAACUCUAUGGGACAUGAUGAACACAGGGAAGUUGUGCAAGAAGAACAAGUUGAUACAAUUGACAUAAAUGAUGAGUCUGCAGUUGAUGAUGUAGAAGAAAAUCUUACAGUUGAGAAUGAUGGCUUAAAACAACAACAAGAACAAGCCACUUCAGAGUUGCCUAUUGAAACACAGUUGAGAAGAUCUACUAGAGAGCGUCAACCUUCUAGGAGGUAUACUAGUGAUGAGUAUUUGUUGUUUUCUGAUGGGAGAGAGUUAGAAAAUUAUCAAGAGGUUUUACUACAUGAUGAGAAAAAAAAAAAAAGUGGAUGAGAGUUAUGCAUGAAGAGAUGAAAUCCUUGCAUAAGAACAACACUUAUGAAUUGAUGGAGUUGUCUAAGGGUAAAAGAGCAUUGAAUAAUAAAUGGGUACUGAAAAGGAAGCUUGAACCAAACAAAUCACAACCAAGGUACAAGGCAAGAUUAGUUGUGAAGGGUUUUAGUUAGAAGAAAGACAUUGACUUUGAAGAGAGUUUCUCACCUGUAUUAAGAUGUCUUCGAUCCGAGUUAUAUUAGGCUUGGCUGCCAGUAUGAAUCUAAAGAUUGAACAGCUUGAUGUGAAGACUACUUUCCUCCAUGGUGACUUAGAAGAGGAAAUAUAUAUGGAGCAACCAGAAGGGUUUACAAUCAAAGGCAAGGAACACUUAGUGUGUCGAUUGAAGAAGAGCUUGUAUUGUCUCAAACAGGCACCGAGACAGUGGUACAAGAAGUUUGAUUCCUUCAUGGUUGAGCAUGGGUAUGAAAGAAUUGUUUUUGACCAUUGUGUGUUUGUGAAGAAAUUCUCAGAUGGAGAAUUUAUUAUUCUCUUGCUAUAUAUGGAUGACAUGUUGAUUGUUGAUCGUGAUACUGGUAAAAUUGAUAAACUGAAAAAGGAGUUGAGCAAGUCCUUUGAAAUGAAGGACUUGGGGCCUGCAAGUCAGAUUAUUGGUAUAAAGAUUUCUCGAGAUAGGACGAAUGGAAAAUUGUGGUUAUCUUAAGAAAGCCAUAUUGAGAAGGUUUUAGACAAAUUCAACAUGGGCAAGGCAAAACCAAUGAGUUCUCCACUUGGAAGUCAUCUAAAGUUAAGUUCCAAACAAAGUCCUUCAAGUGAGAAAGAAAAAGAAGAAAUGUGAAAGGUGCCUUAUGCAUCAACCGUGGGUAGCUUGAUGUAUGCCAUGGUGUGCACGAGGCUUGAUAUUGCUCAUGCUAUUAGAGUUGUUAGUAGGUUCCUUUCUAAUCCUGGGAAAGAUUACUAGGCUACAGUGAAAUAGAUUCUCAGGUAUCUGAGGGGUACUUCUAAGACAUGUUUAUGUUUUAGGACUAACAAACAUGUGCUUGUAGGAUGCACAAAUGCAGAUAUGGCUGGGGAUGUUGAUUCUAAAAAGUCUACUUAUGGUUAUUUGAUCACUUUUUUAGGGGGAGCAGUGUCAUGGCAAUCAAGGUUGUAGAAAUGUGUUGCUUUGUCGACCAUAGAGGCUGAAUAUAUUGCUAUCGCUGAAACUAGCAAGGAGUUACUAUGGAUGAAUAAGUUCCUACAAGAAUUGGGUCUAAACAAGAAAGGUAUCUAAUCUAUUGUGAUAGUUAGAGUGCUAUUCAUCUAAGUAAGAAUCCAACUUUUCACUCUAGAUCCAAGCAUAUAUUGAUGUGAGAUAUCAUUGGAUUCGUGAUGCACUAGAGAUGAAAUUGUUUUACCUUGAGAAAAUCCAUCCUAAUGAGAAUGGAUCAGAUAUGAUGACAAAACCAAUACCUACAGAGAAGCUACAAUUCUGUAGAAAACAAGCGGGCUUGGUAUAACCCCUUACAUAGUCGGGAAGAGGAGAUUUGUUGGGCUCCCUCGUAUGUGAGGGACUGGACCCCAUAUUCUUAGGGCCCAAAUCAGUUACAUUUAAAAAAAAAAAGAAAAAAAAAAAGAGGGAGAUUGGGAAAAGGAAAAAAAUAAAGAGAAGAGAAGAGAGAGGAAAAAUGCAUAUGCCCAAAUUUCAUCAACAAGUCGAUCCUACUUCAUCUGUGGUCUGAUUGAGUUGAAAUUUGGAAGAGAGGUUUGAAACUCGAGUAGCUACAAUCUAAAUGGUGGAGAUCAGAUUUUGAGUUCGGGAACUAGUGUUACUGCCCAUGAAUAGUAACGAAGUUUUUUGGGUUUACUUUCUCUAAUUUUCUUUGUUUCUUUUGCUAAGAGAGAUUGUAUAAUCCAAGGUUAUAUGUACUCUUGAUGUAUUUGGUAGCCUCUAGAGAUUAUUUUAGAAAAGACAGGUAUAACCCAUUAUUGUUAAUAAUGGAAGUUUGAACUGUAAUAGGUCCUGUGGUUUUUUUCUUCGCAUUGAGGGGUUUUUUACGUAAAAAUUCUAGUGUCUAAUUUAUUUUUUUUAUUGCAUGAAUUUAUUUAUUUAUUUAUUUAUUACUACUAAUUGUUAUUGCCUAUUUAAUUUUGCACAAAGAAAUGGUAUAAAAAUUGUAGUGUUUGUUAGAAUAUUGUGAAUUCACCCUAACAACAUGAUGUGAAAUUAUUGUGAUGAGAACCUUAGAAAUAAUGCUAUGGAUUUUUAUUUAUUUAUUUAUUUUUAAGAAAAUAUUUGGAGACAUCUCUGCAUUGGUGAAUUAAUGAUGAGUGAAUUAAUUGAGGUAGAGUCACAGAUAAGAAAUAGCCCUGGUGGUGGUCCACUGUGGCAGCAAGUGGGAGCCACAAUCCUAUUCUGGUGCAGCCUGUUUCAGCUGCAUGAAAAAGCAAGUACCUAAGUGCGCUGCUGGAUGUGUUGUGAUGUCCCACAUCGGAUAGGGGAGCAAGUUCCUGGCGCUAUAUAUGUAGAGACUCCUCUUAACCAAGUAGACGCGUUUUAAAGCCGUGAGGGUCCCCUUGGACCCAAAGCGGACAAUAUCUACAUGGUUGGGAGCGGGUCGUUACAAAUGGUAUCAGAGCCGAUCCCCAACCCCGGUGUGGGGGUUUGUUUGGCUCCGUAAAGGGUGUUUGUCUGUUUGGCCCCGCAAUCCCAUGGGACACAACGAGGACGUUGUGUCUGCAUGGGGGGGUAUUUGUGAUGUCCCACAUCGGAUAGGGGAGCAAGUUCCUGGCGCUAUAUAUGUAGAGACUCCUCUUAACCAAGUAGACGCGUUUUAAAGCCGUGAGGGUCCCCUUGGACCCAAAGCGGACAAUAUCUACAUGGUUGGGAGCGGGUCGUUACAUGUGUAGCUGAGAAUAACCAGCUAUAGUAGUGGUUGACCUUAUGUAGCUGUAGUAGUGGCCACCUGUUUGUAAAAAGAUUAGCUUAACUAGGUUUUUUAAUAGGGUUGUUACAGGGGACACUUAAAAGAUCAAAGGGAAAGACAUGUAAUAACUAACAAUUUUUUAAACCUAUCUUCGUAUCAUUCAUUGAAAAUGCCUAUUUUAAAUACUAUUUUCUGUUUUAGAAACUGCAAACAUGUAAUAACUAAAACAAAUAAAAUGAACAUGAUCGUGUUUGGAUAUAUAUUAUGCCAAUAUUCAAACAUAUAUACGUAAUUGUUAAUCAGCUCUGGACCACUUGCCAGAGUUUGGAUAUAUAUUAUGGUACACAUGCAUCAUAAUUUGACAUGGAUUCAUCAGAAAACCAUGUGGAAUGAUAAAAAAUUUAUCUGUCUGAUCUCUUGGGAGCAUGAUAGUAGAUUUCUUCCAGCAUGAGAUGCGCCCCUUUGGACGGAGGGAGUCAGGCUUGCACUGCAUCAAUUAUCAAAACCAUGCAUUUAGGGAUCACAUCCCAUGGUAGUAGUUGAAGCAAGAACAUUAAUAAUUAAUUGUUUUAAAAUAACGCUAUAAAAAAUAAAUAAAUCAUAGAAGUAAAUAGAAUAUUGUAUGUUGUGUGUACUUAGUUAAGAAGCAAUUCAAUUACCUCUCUGGAUGUGAGAUAUUUUGGACCAAUCCUGCCCUGUCCCCGCAUGGUAACGAACUUGCAGAGUAGGAGAGCCGAGGAUAUUCAGUUCCUGUAGUGUAGUUAUCUGGAGAAGGCGCCCGGGCAGGCUUUCCAGCUUGGGGCAUUUAUUUGUGGUGAAGGAGUGGAGACAUGGCAUUACUGACCUCCCUUCUUCUUUUACUUCCCACUUCUCCCACUUUUUCAUAUCAUUAAAACAGAGGUGCUUCAGCUUUGGGAAUGCAGUUGUUGAAGAUCCCAAAAACUCACCACCCACGUAUUUCAGUCUCUCCAUAUUCUCUAUUCUCAGGCUUUCAAGGAGAGGUAGUUCCCCCAAUGGAGGCAAACUUGUAACCUGUGGGCAAUACACAAUUUCAAGCUUUUUCAAUUGGGCCAACGAUGAGGCCGCUAUCCAACUGGGGAACUCGGUGGCACCAAUGUAAUAACUUAUUUUUAAAGACUUCAAGUUUUGAUGAGGCCGUAGAGCUUCGGCCACACCUUUUGAAGCAGCUGAGGCAAGCCGCCCAAAAUCCUCUAGUUCCAAAUGAUGGAGGUGUUUCUUAUUCUUCAAUUCUGCUUCGCCAGCCUCCUCGGCAUCUUUCACAUUAGCUAUCCCACUUAUCACAAGACCUCCCCUGAGGCUGUUUAAGUUUUUCAGUUCUCCUAUUUUGCAUACAUCACGUCUAAAAUGAUCACCAAUAGGAAACCUAGUUAAUGUCCGAAGUGAGGUCAAUCUCCCGAUUCCUUUUGGCAAGUCCGAUACUCCACUGCCGUUCAAUUCAAGAUGUCUCAGGUUAAUUAGUUUUCGCAUUCCCUGAGGUAGUUUUCUGAGGCCUUCACAAUAAAUAACUUCUAAAGUUUGCAAAUUAUAUAGAUCACAAAUUGUUUCGGGCAAUUCCUUCAAUCUCUCAUUGAAUGAUAGAUUAAGGAACCUCAGAUGUAUCAAUUUCCCCAAGUUCCUCGGCAGUUCCCCAGGAAAAAUAUUCCCACUCAAGUCUAAUGCCCUAAGGCAUACCAAAUGUUUGAAUAAAUUAGGUGGGGGGUUGAGCAGUGUUCGAAUUGACCACACGUGCAGCAAACAAUGUGUGCAGGUAUUUCAAAUUAUGGAUAGUGAUAGGAAAUCCAACCCUUCGUGCGCUAAUUAAGGUUGCAUGACGAGCCUUUUGGAAGGAGGAAGCCAUCCUCACUUCCUUUUCAUCAUCAAUCUCCAGAAUGAAGCAUUCAUUCUUGGUCAAAUAUUGGGCAAGAUCAUGCACUAUAUCAUGCAUCUUGCACGAUAUUAUGUUGCCCUCAUCAUCUCUACGAAAAUCUUGGAAAAGUGACCGUGACACCAAGUCUUCAAAGUAGUCUCCACCUGUUUUCUCCAUCUCUAUGCUUCCUCUAGAAUUGAGAUAGCUAUUUGCCAUCCACAACUUGAUCAAUCUAUUUUUAUUAAUGAUUUGAUCUUUUGGGAAGACAGCACAAUAUGAGAAGCAGCGUUUAACAGCAGGGGAUAAAUCAUAAUAACUCAACAAUAAAGGAGUGGAAAGAUGUUUCUCAAUCACAUCAAGUUGCCAUAUUUCAUUAUUCAAAAUACUCUCCCAAUCUUCUUUAUUAUCUUUUAAGCGCAUGAGACUCCCUAAAACUUUUGCAGCAAGAGGCAAGCCCCUACACUUGUCUGCUAUUUUCCUGCCAAUGUUUUCUAGUUCUUCAACUUUUUCUCUACUCCUUCCGUAAAAGGCUAUGUUACUGAACAAUGACCAACAUUGCUCCUUGGACAAUUCUCCCAAGGGGUGCUUGUACGUGGUUCCCAUCAUUGUAGAAACGUUUUCGUUUCGUGUGGUCACCAAAAUUCUACUUCCCGGUGCCCCACCCUUGAGAGAACUCUCUACUUGUUCCCACAAUUCAUAGUUUUCAGUCCAAACAUCAUCUAGCACAAGUAGGAACUUCUUAUCGGCAAUAAGUGUGCGGAUUUUUUGUUGUACAGCUUCCAGAUUAUGGAAACCACAAGAGUCUUUCUGGAGGGCUUCAAGAAUAUCUCUAGAAAUCCUCAUUGGGUCAAAAGGAUCAGACACGCAGACCCACAUCCUUUCAUGGAAAUAGGUCGUCACCUUUUCGUGGUUGUAUGCUAAUUGAGCAAGAGUUGUUUUGCCGAUCCCUCCCAUCCCAACUAUGGAGAUGAUGUAGAGGGAGGAGCUUUCUUGGCAACUCCCACCCAACAGCUUGCCUAUUAUAAUGUUUAUAUCUGCAUCCCGACCGCAGAACUGGCUAACAUCAAUUACAGAACUGGUUAUACGUCUAUGUGGUUGCUGGAUGGUACUACUUGACACAAAAUUGAACUGAUUUUGCUCAUUUGCAAUGGCAUCUAGUUGUUUUCUUAUGUCCUUAAUCUUAAUACCAAUAUCACAGCACAAAAGAACUUGUUUGAAGCAAACACAAGGGGAGGGAAGGCAGGAACUUAUCUUGGGCUUAGGGAUGCAAGGGUUUUCAGCCCCAAUCUGUAAUUUGAGAAGAGCAGUGUUCCACCCAUCCACCACGUCAUCCAUCUGGUAGGAGAUGUCCUUGAGCCUUUCUAACCAAACUUUUACCAGUUCUUCUGUGAACUGUCUCUUCUCUGCAUCUCCAAGAACAGCUCUGAUGCUCUGGAGUGUGCUUUUUAGGUUGUCCACCUCGCUUUCGACACCCACCACCAGCGUAACUUGUUGACGAAUCUGUUGUUCCAAGACUGAAGCCAAUCGCUCCAGCACGAUAGAAACAAGAGCAUCCGCCAUAAGGGUUGAUGAAUAAGGAGGGGUUGAUGAAUCAAAGAAAAUGGACAGAUACAACUAAGAUCAAUGGAGAGAAAGGAUGUGGAGCUUUGGCGAGCUUAAUUAUGUUCCCUUUAAUAGAAUGGAAGAGAGGUAUAAAUGGAUUACUUAAAAAUGGCAUUUCUAUAUGACAAGAUAUGCUGAUCUUCUUCAUCACUUCUUCCCUUUCUUUUCCUUCUCAAGAGAAACCUCCAAAUGCAAUGCCCAAAUCUGCAUGGAAAAGCAUUUCUUGCCUCUUUGGAAUGGCAUUGCCUGUUACACAAGUUUUGGACAAAGGCAAAGCAUCUUACUGUAUAGAUUUUAUAUUCCAAUCUUGCACCGCACUUUGUCCAAAACAUUUCUCAACUUUAAUUCAGGUACAAAUCUACUUUCAAUUCUAUUCUAGAAAAGCUAAGCCGAUUUCUAGUGUUUAUAUAUAUAUAUAUAUAUAUAUUCUUACAAAUAAUAAGUCUCUUAGAAAAUUUUAAAUAUCACUAUAAAGAAUUUAUAAGAAUAUAUUUGGUCACAACCACAAAAACUAUUAUAAAAAAUAUAAUUAAAAUUUUUUUACCCUAAUAUUGUUAUUAUUUAAUGAUUUAUACUCAGUCUAACAUUAUAUUUUUAAUAAUUAUCAAUGUUUUAAAAAUCAAAUCACACCAAUCAAUCAAAUUGUUGGCUAAAUCUCAAUCCUGUUCAGUUCAACUAAUUGGACCACAAUGGGGUCAAAAUGGCAUUGAACCGAAGUCAAACUGACAGUACAAUCGCUAAAUUGGUGAGUUGGCUUAGCGGUUCAGUUUAACCUAUUGUUAUGUUUGUCCAACUCAUUGGGAUCUUAUUUUUUAUCCCUAAUCCAUAAGCCCAUCAAAUAGAUGGACCAUAGGAGAAACUCUUCCCAAUUCGUUAAGCAAGUUGACUCAUGUUUGAUUGAAUUGGUAUAUUUACAGGGUGAUAAAGGUGGGUGGAGUCACUCGAUGUGGGAUCAAGGAGCCCUUUUUUAAAGAGCUAUAAAAGGGAAUGCACAGAGCCUAGUUGGAAUGUUACAACUUUGUAUGAAAAAAACAUUAAAAUAUUCCAAAACUUAAAAAUAAAUAUAAAAAAUUAUGAUUUAUCUAAUAGUAUAUGAUAAUAAAUAUCAAAAUAAUAUAGAUAAAACAACUAAUAAUUUUGAAAAUAAUAAAAUAUAUAGCUAUUAAAAUCUAAACAACUUUAAAUAAUAAAUCUUAUUUAUAAGAAUAAUUAUAACUUAAAUAUAACUGUUCACUAUUAAGAAUAUAUUUGGUUUCAAUAACAAAAACAUUAUUGGAAAAAGCAAGAUUAAAAAUUACCUUAAAAUAUGGUUAAUAACGUGCAUCUCUUUUAAAGUGGUUUUAAAACAAUUAAAUAAAAUUUACUGCGUCAUCCUUUAGCAUGUUUUGCACUUUACCCUUUUAUAUUCAAAACCAAAUACUUUGCCUUUCAACUUGUUAAGGAACAAUGCUUUGCAUAAGGAAUUGCUUUUUUUGCACUUAACCAAAUACUUUGUCUUUCAACUUGUUAAAGACCGACGCUUUGCAUAAGGAAUUGCUUUUUUUUGCCCUUUUGAACAUUGGUUCAAAUUUAGGUACCAUCAACUUGAAAUUAACAAAUUUGAAGUGGAAUUUCUUAGACACUUUCAAAAUAUGAUGUUUAUAGUUUUUAUUUUUUAUUUUAGAGAGAUGUUCAUAUAACUAUAUAUAUAAAAUAUAAGAUUUUGAAUGUGAGAGGGCAGAAUGUAAAAUAUGUCAAAGAUUGAAUGGGUAAAGUAUAUUUAACCUAGUUUAAAAUAAUGUUUCUUAGAAACAAGAUAUUUGUAGAAAAUACCAAGUGGCUAGUAUUCUUUUUCAUGUUGUUAAAAAUGUUAGUGAUUUGAUAAUUAAUAAUGACAAAGAAAAUAAUACACAUAUUAAAUUUUUUUAUUUUUUAUUUUUGCAUUUUCCUUUGUUUUGUUUUUUUAAAUGAAAAUUAAAAAAAAAAUCAUUUUCCUUUCCACACCAUCCAAGCUCAUCAUAUUAAUUAACAAGUUCAUCUAUAUCUUGUUAUUUCCUACUUUCUAAGAAAAAAAAAACAAAAACAAAAGAAGGAAAAUAUUUUUGACAACUUAAAAAAUGGAAAAUAAUAUAUUUUUAGAAAACAUAUUUUAAUUAUUUUCACUUUUUUUAAGUCAUUUUAAAAAAUAACAAGACAAAUAUGAAGAAUAAUUAAAAUAAAAUAUUAUAUAUGAAAUUUAUUUUUAAAAAUUAUUUUAAAUACAAAAAAUAAAUUGAAUAUAUUCUAAUUUUUUAAACAAAAUUUUAUUCAAGAAAGGAACUAUUUUUGGGAACUGUCUACAAAAACUAAUUUUUAAUAAUAGCUUUUGGAAACGUUCCUAACUAUAGACCCUAAGGUUCCAUUUGGUUUGGAUUUUUUUAUUCCAUUUUUUUUAGAAUAAUUUUUUAUUAUUUUUGUUCCUAAAAAAUGUAUUUGAUUAAUAAAGUUAAAACCAUUUUAAAAAAUAAAAUCUAAAAAAUAUUAUUUGAUUUUAAAUGAAAUAUAAUUAAAAUUUUAUAUUAUAUGCAUGUCAUGUGAUAAAUAAAAAAACAUGCUUAUACAGUAGUGAUAAGAUAAUAUCUGAUUUCACAUUUAUAUAAUAUAUCAUGUUUUAUUCAUUUGAAUAUUUUUUAUAUUUGUAAUAUUUAUACUUCUUUAUACCAUGCAUAUCAUAUAGGAAUGGCAACGGGACGGGUUUGGGACGGGUCACCCCUAUCCCAUUCCCAUCCCAAAAUAUAUGGUUAUUUCCCAUCCUGUCCCAAACCCGGUGCGGGGCGAGGUAUGCACUCUCAUUCCCGUUUUGAAGUUAUGAUUAAAAUCCCAUUUCGGGCCCGUCCCGACCCGAGUAUGUGUAUGCACCUUGUGUUGCCCAAAGAGAGGGGAAAACAAUGAGUUACAGCCUUACAAGCAGUUCAAGCACCUUAUGUAUGCAUGUAUUUCUUGACUAUUACAAAUCUGGUGGACGUUUGGACUCUCCAAAUUUUUUUAUUAAGCUGCAAUUACAAUGAUCCCAAUAAGAAGGACAAUUCCAAAUAUCACUAACAAAUCUCUCAUCUUUUGCCCAAAAACUGACAAAGAAACACCCAAAACCAAACAAAUCAACAUUAAAAAAAAAAUACCUAAAACGAUUCCUAUGGAGAAAAUGGCAGUAGUGUAAACUGAUGAGACUACUAGUAGUUGUGAAUAUGAGAUAAACAAGGACAAAUCUAAGAGUAGAUGGAGAAAAUGAGAUUAUUGAAUGGAUUUUUGGAUGGAUUAUCUUAUGGAUUUCUGCAUUGAGUGGGGGGAACAACAACCCUAGUGAUAGAGAGGAACAAGAACCCUAAAAUGAGAGAGGAAAAGCAGAAAGGAUCAAAGAAAGCAAAUAUUUAUAAAUAGGGGUAAACUUAUAUUUUCAUAUUCAGGGCAAGGCAGGGCAUAUUAUUACUAAACCCAAUCCCACCCCAAACCCAAUUCGGGUUUUAAAAAAAAAAACUUGAACCUGUCCCAUACCCGUUCUAAUAGGGAUGGGUCAGGGCGGGUGACCCGAAAAACCCGUGAAAUUGUCAUUCCUAAUAUCAUAAGGUUAUUUACAUAAUUUAUUUCCUUCUUUGUUUUUAUUAUUAUUAUUAUUAUUAUUAUUAUUAUUAUUAUAUUACAAUUCAUUCAUUUAUUAUUAUUAUUAUUAUAUUGCAAUUCAUUUAUUAUGUUAAAAUCACAUAAUAAAAUAUUCAAAUAUGCUCAUAAUUAAUCCACUAAAAUGAAUAUGUUUCUAAUAUGAAAAUGUAUCUUCCUAUAGUUUAAUAAAUAGAACAAAAUAUUUAUACGCUAUUCUAAGAGGAUAUUUGCUUUCAAUUAAUGUAUAUGGGAUUAUAUAUUAUUCAUUUCAUAUUUUUUUAUAUUUAUAAUAUUUAUAUUUUGUUAGUAUUAUUUGUCUUAGGAAACAAAGUAUAAAUAAAUAACAAGCCCACAUCAUAUCAAGAGAAGAGCCCCUAUGGCAUGUGUCAUAAUUAUUAAGGAUUAAAUCUUAAGUUUAGAAUCUUAAAAUCAAAUAAAUUAUUUAUUUGAAUAUUAAAAUUGAAAGAUUCCUUUUAUUAUCCAAAAUUCUAUUUUAAGCAGAGAAAAUCUCUUAGGAAUGAGGUAGGAGGGAGUAAGAGAGAGAGAACUUUGCAAGAUUCCACAAAUGUGUUCCUAGAAAUUUUCAAAUUUUCCUUAAACUCAAAUACCUUCUUAAACUUAAAAGAAUGAUUUCAAAGGGAAAGAAUAAAGACCAAUAUUCCUAAUUGGUCCUUAGCUAAAUCAACCAGAAGUAUGUGAUUGUCAUCCUCGAAUCAAUAUUAACUUAAAAGAUCAAUGUGUUCUAGAAAUCCUCAAAUUUUCCUUAAGUUCAAGUACCUUAUUAAACUUAAACAAUGUUCUCAAAGCAAAUGAGUCAAGAUAAAGCCUAAGUGGCCCUUAGCUAAAUCAAUCAAUAGUAUGUAAUUCUCAUCCUUGAAUCAGAUUUGAUUAAAGAUCGAUCAAUCGAUUAUAACUUAGAAGAGUAAUCAAUUAUAACUCAAAAGAUCUAUAUAUAUAUAUAUAUAUAUAUAUAUAUAUUGAUGUGAGUAUAUAUGUGUAUGUAUAUAUAUAUAUAUAUAUAUAUUUGUGUGUGUGUGUGUGUGUACACUCACAUUUUUAUUAAUAUAAUUUUUUCUAUCAUUUUCAACAAAGGAUUGUAAUCACAUUUUCAUUAAUAUAAUAGUUUAAAGAAGAUGACAAAGGAUUGUAGUCACAUCUACUCAUAUCUUUAUUAAUAUAAUUUUCUUUGUUAUUGUCGACAAAGGAAUGUACUCACAUCUUUAUUAGUAUAAAUUUCUAUACUAUUUUCUCAUUUUUUGGCUUCAUAGAAUAAAAAAUUUGUACAUGCAAGUUUCUAGUACACCCAUGGGAUUGUGUCUCAUCUCUUUUAACUGAAAUUCCUCUUUCCAUCCUAAGUUGAGAUAAUGUGUUAAAAAAAAAAACCAAGUCAUACACAUACUUUUCAUCCAAAGUCAAGUUAAUGCUUUCAAGAAAAAACCUAGUCAUACACAUACAAAGGGAAUGGUAACAAUGGCAUCACCUCAUGACUAAAGAAUACUGUUAAUAGUCUAAUGACAUGUAGCAAGGCAAAGACAAUAACAAUUACUUUAACUUUAAACCAACAUAUGUUGAUGCACUCUCAUUCAUCAUUACCAUUCAAGACUCUCCAAUUUUAAAGUUGAAGUAUUUUUUAUAUAAGGAAAUUAAUCCAGAUUAGUCAUUGAAACCUCUAAUCCUUGAACCAAAAAAGAAAAUAAAAAAGAACUAACAAUUGUAUGAUAGUUAAGUCAUCUCCACAUGAAACUUUAGAUUAGCGGCAAUUGAGGUAGUAAAUUUUAGGGUGUGAAUGUUGGUUAGAAGCUCAAAAAAGUGAUUUUAUACACAAAAGAGGUAGAGAGAAUUUAAAGAACAUAAAAUUGAAGGAAAACAAACUUUAGGAGUUGAGAUUCACUAGGAUCACCACUCUUAGGUACAGCUUACGAACAAGGCCUUGAACCUAUGCUUUUGGCUUUAGGAUCAAGCCAACGGUUUAUACCGAAAAAUGUUCCUACUUGAAAUGAACGAGAACCACCCUAAUAAGGUUCAACUCCUUUUGAUUGCUCUCUUUUGGAUCCUUGCAACCAAAUAAUUUACAUGAGUUCCUUUUCACGUCAACAAGCUUGUGCAUAAUUCAAAGAAUUUAAAAUAGUAGUUAGGCAUGCUUCCAGGGUUACUUGAUUUAUGGCCCUCACAACCAAUGUUGUAUACACCUUUCUUCGCAUGGUUACUCUUUUUGGUCAUCAUAAUCAUUAACAGAGAUCAAAUUCUUUGGAGCCAUGUGCAAAUAAACUAUUAAAUUGAGAUAUGGGAAACCUCAGCUCAUCUUACCCCUUGAAAUGUUAAAGAUUACCUAAACAUAUUUGAGAACUAAGAGAAAAACCAAAAACAUAAAUUUGCAAGAUGAAACUAAAAACUAAAAAAAUAAGAUUAAUUGAAAAGACUGGAAAAUUCAUUAACUUGGAAAUCAAAGAAAGGUUACAAAGAAAAGAAACGAUUACAACUAAGAACUAAAACUAAUGUUAAGUUACUCCCACUCCUACGAGAAAGAAAGACUAUCUAACUUUUUAUCUCUAUCAUCUACUUCUAUUUGUAUAUUCAUAGUCCUUCUUUUAAUCUCAAUCUCCCCACAUUCCAACUACUCCCAUGCCAACUUGUCUAGAUUUGCCCUUUGCCCUUUGCCCAUGUUGUGGAUUUAGUCUUAUGUUAGUGCAGUUAAUCAAUCAUCAUUCUUGAUGUGUUAGCUUGAAGUUGGUGGUUGCACCUCUUUUUCUAUGUAAUCAACAUGGGGUAUGUUUUGGUAGUACAACUGAAGAUUUUGAGGCAUGAAUGAUUGUGCUACUUUGGUAGGUGUGUCAAUCAUUAGAAAAAUUGAGUGUGUAGCUCUUACAAAGUAAGGAACAGUAUGCAGGUUUCAAUGACAUCCAGGGGUGCACUUUAUUAUUAGCGAAUGAACUGCACAUUUCAAGUCUUUAGGAGGUGCAUUGCUUUGGCAUUUUGCUAGCUUAGGUGAAAGGUGCACAACUUCUUAGUUUAGCACAAUUAAGAAGUGUGCAAUUUGUGUUGCCUAAAGGGGAUGAGCAAUUUGGUCCAACACACAUGAAAGGUGGACAAAAGAGACUUUAAGCAUUAGUCUUCAGGGUGCAUACAAGAGGUGCGUUGUGUGGCUCUACACUGAAAAAGGAAUGCAAAAUUAAGUCUUACGCACCUUAAAGUACACAAUCUACGUUUGGUUUCUACAUGUGCACUUUUCUCCCUAAGAGUUCCCAAAAAAGCUCUACUACAUAAAAAAAAAUCUUAAAGCUCAUAGAAUACUCACAAAAUGCAUGAAACACAACUUUUUAAGGUACUAACAACAAGACCAAGCAUUAUGUGAAUUCUAAGUACCCCGGACAUGCUAAAAUAAACUCUUUAAAGCCAUCAAAGCAGUGAGUUUGAGUUCUCAUCAAUUACUUACAAAGAAUCAUGAUACACAUUGGUCAAUCAUCACUCUAGUCUCCUUAGGGGGAAUGACACAAGUGUCAAAUUCCUAGAAAAAAUCCACUCAAGCCUUAGAUCUCUCCAAAUGAUGUAUGCAUCUAUAAAUCCUAAGCACAGUAGAAACUAAUAUGUCUCUUAAAACUUAUUCUAAGGUGAGAAAUAACUAGAAAUCACACCUCAGAUUUAGAUGUUUCCAAAUCCAUUUCCAAUCUAUGAAAAAUAAUCUCAAAGGCCUAGAGCCACCUAAUAGCUCUUCCUUUGAUCAUGACAAUAAAGAAGGGAGGACUUCUCUCUAAAAAGAUAAAGGAUAGGUUUUUUCUCUCUCUCUAGAAGACAUCAAUGAAUUAGAGUCUUUAAACCUAAACUCUAAAAGGGUUUAUGUAGACCUUCUUAUAGGCUUACAUGACUUAAGUCAGAUUAACUCUAACUCCAAGGAGCAUAUGUUAAAUUUCCACUAAAGAAAAUGUUAUGGCCAUAAUAUUUUAAAUCACAUGUCUUUUGGAUCACGCAAAGGGACAUAUUAUCUCAAUCCAUGAGAUAUCAUGGUGCCUCUAUUGAGAAUACUUAUUGUCACCGGCCUUCAUCAAUAGUGACCCAAUCCACAACGAUAUGACUACUUUAAGGUCUCAUCCAUAGGUCAAAGUCUCCUGUUAACUUUGGCACAGGCUCAAUAUCCUCUCAAGGUUGAGAGUUCAUGCAUUAUAGUAGCUUAAUGAAUCAUAACAAUUGAUAGUCUUAGGUCAUGAUUCACGUAGGUCUUGUCUAGUGUGACACAAUGGCCUAGACAAAUCAUGAUCCCUCCAAUUAGGAGGAAAUGCACUACAAUCUCAAAUGGAUUGCUCAAAUCCAUAAACAAACUAUGGACAACUCAUCAUUCUACAAGGAACUCAUGACUUGGGUCUUCUAUGUAAUUCGUAAUGCACCCAAGUCAUGUACAAUGCAGGUGAUGUGGGGCAUGUAUGCUCAAAGAGUCCAAUCAAUGCAUAAUGAGAUAAUAAAAGAAAAAACUAGAAACAUGAAUAAAUAAAUUUAUAAAUGAAUUUUUAUCUAUUACAUCACAUCAUGCUUUCUAAGGCUCAAUACCAAUAGUUAUAACCACUCGAUAGCCUUACAUCAUGACUUAACAUAGGUUAUGUCAAAUGUGUAAUAGUACACACUAGUGCACUCACCAUGGGAGCCUCAUCCCGAUGAUCAAAACAAUUUAUCCCUCAAAUUAGGAGAUAGUGCAUUAUCAUCUCUAUCAGAUUGACUAAACUCAUGAACCGACUAUGAACUAUUUUUCAUCUUGCAAGGAACCCAUGACUUAUAUCAUCCAUGCAACUCUUGAUGCAUCAAAGUCAUGUACAAGAUAAAUGAUAUGAGUAUGAAUGCUCAAAUCAAUAUCAAUGCAUACAAUAAAUAGAUAAAGUGGAAGCUCAAGUCUAACUUUCUUAUAUCAUGUCUUACUUUUAAAGGCUUUAUCCCAACAUAUAUGACAAGUCAGGUCUAGUGUCGGUUAGAUAGAUCAAUUUUCCCACUAGUCUCUGUUAUCUCUCUUUGUUAAUUGGAAUUUGAUGAGAAUAGAUGGACAUAUCAUGAUUUAUCUCAAUGGAAAUAUCUACAGGUUUGUAAUUGAAGUUACCAGUUUCAACCAAGAGAUCUGAUGUAUGCUUUUGUUAUGAAAAGAAAAGUCCUUACUUCGACUCAAUGCCCAAGAAGUAUUUUAGAGCACUGAAGUCCUUCAUUUCAAAUUCCUUAGCCAAAUAGCUCUGAAGCUUCACUAUUUUUCUAGAGUUACUACUUGUAACAACCAUGUCAUCAACAUAAACAAUAAGCAUAAUAAUGUCAUCACCAUUUCUCUUAUUAUUUAGAGUGUGAUCUACCAUAAGUUGUUCAAAACCAUACUCUUUUUCAUCGAGUAGCUCAACUUUCCAAACCAUGCCCUUAACAAUUCCUUUAACUCAUAUAGAGCAUUUUUUAGUUUACAUACCUUGCCUCUUUUUGGUGUAAACCCUGGAAGGGGAUUCAUGUAUGCCUUCUCUAACAUAUCACCAUGGAGAAAGGCAUUCUUCACAUCAAACUAUUGUGAUGGCCAAUUCAAAUCGACCAUAAGAGAGAGUAUGACUCUAACAGUGUCCAUCUUAGUCACAGGGGAAAAGUCUCUUGAUAAUUAAUUCCAUAAAUUUGAGUAUAUCCCUUUGCAACCAAUCAAGCUUUGUACUUGUCAAUUGUCUCAUAUAACUUAUACUUUACUGAAAACACUCAUUUACUUCCCACUAUCUUCUUUUCCUAAGGGAACUCAACCAUCUCCCAAUUAGAAUUCUUUUAGAGAUCCUUCAUAUCUUCUACCAUAGCAAACUUCUAUUUAGGAUCUUUAAGGGUCCCCUAAAAAUGACUAGAAAUAGACACAAAAGACAAUUGAAAAGCAAAAGCAAGGUGAGUCUUAGAUAGACGACAAUAAGAGAUGAAAUUAGAAAUAAAAUAGACAACAUUAAAGGAUGAUUUUAAGAAACCCAACCUAUCAGGUUCUUUACCAUCAUGAAGAGGAUAUCUCAUACCUUGAUCACCAAUUUGUGGAUUCAAGGUAGAAGUUUCAAAAGUUACAAGUGAAGGAACAUGUACCUUAGGAUUAGUCUCAAUGGAAAAGUCAUUUAAUGGUAUGGUAAUAUCAUUAAUAGGAGUAUUGAAACCUUGAAAAGGUAUGACAUUAGCAUUUUUGUUCUUUCUUAUAUAACCUUAUUAGAAUAAUUUGGCUGGUCUUUCACACUUUCUUUUCUUAGAUUCAAACUCAGUUGUCAGAGGGUUGGGAGCAUCUAAAGACUCCCCCUUAUGCAAAUCAGUUGAAUCCUUACUAUUAAUCUCCCCUUAAAGAGGAAUUAGAAACACAUUCCCAUAAAAACAAUACUCCAGUUUACAGAAGUUGACAUCCAUGGAGACAUAGUAUUUUCUUGUAAGAUGAUGAAAACAUUUAUAGCCCUUUUAAGAAUUAGAGUAACCAAGAAAGACACAUUUAAGAGCAUGAGGAUCAAGCUUAUCCCUUUGAUGAGAGUGUAUACAAGCAUAACAUACAUAUCAAAAACUUUAAGACAAAGAUUCAAAACAAAAGGAAUAGGGUGAAAUCGUGAUAACAUUCACAAAGGACUUUGAUAAUCAAUGACAUGAGCAGGCAUUUGAUUGAGAAGAAAUACAACACUCUUGAUAACCUUAGCCUAGAAACGUUUUGGGACACGCAUAGUAAAGCAUAAAGCUUGGGCCACCUCUAGAAUGCGUUGAUUUUUACACUCUACUAUGUCAUUCUUUUAUGGUGUGUAUGUACACAUUGUCUAGUGGAGAUUCCAUUUUCUUUGAAUAAAUCAAUAAGGGAUUGAAUUACAAACUCACAACCAUUGUCAGAGUGAAAGACCAUAACCUAAGUAUUAAAUUGUGUAGCAAACAUUUUGGAAAAUUGAGGAAUAGAACUUUCUAGUCAUAAAGGUAAAUUGCUUAUAUCCUCAAUAAACUCAGCAACCUUCAAUGGUUUAGUGAGGCUCCUCUAAAGGUAGGUGAAAGUGUUAUGAACCCUCAUUUGGCCGGGCGCUAAGCACUAGGACCAAUGAAUCCUUGUAAAGUGGUCUUAUAUGACAAAAACUCAACUUAUUACUUCUUAUUCAUCUCUAACUUUUGCAACUUUACAUGUCUUAAGUUAUUCAAGUACUGUAUAGGUUGAUUCAGAAACAUUUAAUGUCAGCUCUCAUCAAAAUGGUAAACACAAGAAGUUAAGUCAUAAGAUAAAAAAUAUCAAUUUUUACAAAUAUACCAAUAGAAGGAUUUUACAAAUAUAUUGGAAAAUAUCAACAAAAAUUUUGACAAAAAAUAUCGAUAUAACCAAAUUUGAUCAAAACUCAUAAAAACAUUUAGGAAAACUUCAAAAUGAUAAAGAAACAAUAAUACAUAUAUUGAAAUCGCUUUGUUGAAUAAAUUAAUACAUGUAUAAUAUAAGUUAUUAUAUUCAGCAACAAUAUCAUGUGUAUUGAUAAGAAAUAUGAAUUUUCUAAAUGUACACUUAAUAUUAAUUUACAUUAAGUAUUUAAUUUAAUUAAAUGUCAUGUCAAUAAUUUAUAAAUAUUACACUAUAAUGGUUUCUUUUUGUACUAAAAUGAAUAUCAUUGUGAUUCCAUAACACUAUUGAAUGAAGGAAUCUUAUCUCGAUGAGACAAUAAUACAUAUAUUAAAAUUGUUUUAUUAAAUAAAUUAAUAUAUGAAUGAUAUAAUUCGUGACAUUCAGCAAUAAUAUGGGAAAUUUGAAAAUACAUUUAAUACUAAAAUGAUGAUAUAUCUACUUUACAAAUAUAUGUGUGAUUAUUUUUAUAUUUAAAAAUAUUUAUAAUUUUAUUUACAUAUUUAUAUAUUUUUCGCAUUCAACUCAUGAUUUUUGGAUUUUCAAUUGUAAAUUAAAUGGAAUUUGAAAAUAAGAUAAUUAAAUUAAUUUGUUUAUUAAAAUUUUAUUUUUCAUAAAUGCAUACAAAAUUUACGUGUCAAUAUACUAUAUUAUAUAAUAUGUAGGGCAGGAAAUUUAACAUGGCAGGGUUGCCCAAGUGGAUGGAAGCCGGCUUUUCACGGGAAAGAAGAAGGUUGAAUCGGAAAAAAAAAAUUAAAAUUCGAUAAAUCAGGAAAAAAAAUCAAAAACUGACUGGAAAUUUCAACCAUUCGAUGUAUCUCAUAAUAUUUUCUACAAGGGACCACCAAAACCCAAAAUGUCGAUAAUAUUUCGCGAAGUUUUGAAGUAAAAACUAAAAAUUAAAAAUAAGAUUUUAAAAUCCGUUUGUCCAUAUUUUCUAUAACUUAUUUUUAAAAACUGUUUUUAAGUUAAAAAAUAAAAAAUUAUUUUUAAAAACAAGUUUUAAAUAACAUAAUCAAAUGAACCUAUAUUUUUCUUUUAUUUUUAAGAAUUGUUCUCUAUUUUAUCUUAUUUUUAAAGAACAAUAAUUAAAUUGUUAGAAAUUUUUAAAAACUAUUUUUUUGUUUAAAAAAUAAAUCACAUGGCCAAACAGGCUGUGCAUACACUCGAGUAUGGGGCACAAUUUUUAUUGCCACAAUAAGUCAAACUCUAUCAAAACUCUUAAACAAACUUCUACAUCUUUAAUUUCUUACUAAAAUUAUUAAUUUUUAUUUAGAAAAUAGAAUAUUUGAGGUACACAAAUUUUGCAUACUCUUGUCAAUUUUUCUUUAUAUAUAAUUUUUCUUUAUUUAUUUUUUAAUUGUUGAAUUUAUUACAUCUCAAAUUUUGUAACUGUCCUUACUAAGAUUUUAACCAUAUUAUUUCCAUGUUUUUGUUGUAGAACAUCUCUAUAACUAAAAUUUGUGGGGAUUAAUUGAUUGAAACUAAGGCCUCGUUUGGGAUGGCUUCAUACAUUUAAAAGGUAAUAUUGAUCUUACAAAAGUUCCAUUAUCAAAAUAAAAUGUAUACUUGAAAUAUCAUUUUCCAACCAUAAACUCUUCGAACAAAAUUAACCGAACACAUGUAAAAACACUUAUUAAACCUAAAAAAUAGCUUUUGACUUCUUAAAAUACUAACUUAUAUCAUCUACAAAAAGUGCUAUCAACAAAAGAGCUUAUGAUAAUUAACACUCAUAUUUAUCAUUUGGAUCUGCAUAUUUUACCAUGGGCUCAAGCUUAAUCAUGUUUGUAAGAGCAUAUAGAUUUCACUUGCUCUAGCUAGUUUUCCACCCAUUCCAACUGGCAAAAGGUCAACUUUAUGUGAACUUAAAAGGUGUUGAUUUCACUGUACAAAAGGAACUUGAAUUUCAGUACUGAGACUAGAUGGCACUCUCCAGCUUGGGUGAGACCCACCUAUGGUUGCUCUACUCUAGGGGCCAUUGUGCUCACCUGAUCAAUCAAAGAUCAUCAAACAAAUACAUUUAUCCUUGUCACGCAUUUUAACUUCGCCUUGAAUAUUUAAGACCCCGGCUGAAUAUCAAAACAGAGUUUCAGAUUUGGAGCUUCUAGACAUGGAAGGAACAAGGGUGAAGACCUUAAGCCACACUGGCAAGACAAAACAGGGGGAGAAAAAGUGGAGUUGUUCAUAGAACGUAUAAUUACAAUUCCAAAAACAGAGAGUUGAUACCAUAUCUGGAUGCCCCUUGAAAUUGAAUUUUGCUAUCAACUGGUGGCAGUUCAUAAAAAGAGGAGAGGACUGAAAGGAAAUCCAAGUAAUGUACAUUUCAGACAUGACUCCGUUCGAUGCAUAAAAAAGCAUUACUAUUCAAUAAUUGAAGCAAAAUGUUAACAAAGAAGAGAGAAGAAAGACUUCCUCAAAGAAAUUUCUUUUUAAAAAGAAAAAAUAUUUCACUAUUAAUUCUUCUACAGCAUUUACCUCAAGCAGAACCUUACCCCAAUAAGUUAGAUCUACAUCAACAGAUUUCAAUCCUUGAGUAAAUUACAUAUCCUGAAAAUCUGCACAAGAAAUAUCAAGACACCCAUGAAUAAGAAAAAAUAAAUAAAAAAGAGGAAAGAAAGAAAAUGCAAAAAAAAAAAAGAGUCAAAGGUGGUUUUAGGAAAUUUGGACUGCUAAUAACCCGGCCAGGAAGAGUAUGUUGGUUCAACUGCUGACACAAACUGGAUGACUUCACAAAACCAUUCACAUGUUUGAUAAACCUUUUUAAGCCAUCAUUUCAAAUGGGAGCAGUGUAUACUUCCCCUAAAUUUACAAGCCACCCAAUUUGGUGUUGAAUCAACAUGGUGAGGAGUUCAAUUAAUGGAGAAACUAGAUGGGUUUGUCCAGGUUUAAAUAAUCGUUUUUAAGAAACAUUGCAGCCAGUCAGGCAAAAGCAUACCUAAAUUUAGAGUGCCAGUAAGCCAAGCAUGUAAAAGAACUUGUGCUCUGGCAGCCGUUUGAUCAUCUUUGGGGUUGAUCUGAACCUGAAGGUCCAACUGAAGGUGUAGCUGGCACACUACUAGCUGAUCCAUUCUCAACAGGUGGUGGCACACCCCAUUUGCCUUCGGAUUCAAGGGGCUCAAAAACACACACUCCACCAUCAGAUAAUCCCAAUGCAAACUGAUUUGGCUCUUGUGGAUGUGCCGCAAUCACAAGGGGGUGUACAUUAGAAUUGCUGCAGACAGAAAUUUUUUAGUGGGAAUCAACAACAGAAAUCACACAUGCUGGAGGUAGAGAGCUUGAUUCUCUCAUAACAAAAUGGACUACAUAAUUGCAGGGACAGGAUAUUAACAAUAAUUGCACAUUCUUAUAUGUAGAAUUGACAUAUUAUUUGAUAUCCCAUAAUCAAAGAUCUCAGACUGAAGCAAUAUAGUUUAAGAAAGCAGCAAGCUCAAUAAAUUCGGAGUCCAUAAUCCAGGAGCCACCAACAAUUAGUGGAUGGUGUCUCACAUUGGCAGAGAAAACUCAAUAGCGACUCGCAGGAUAUAUAUUUUAUUUGAACAUAUUAUACGGUAAAGAGUUUAUCAUUUUGGUGCACAUUCAAGAUUCAAAAAGAAAAAUAGAAACAAAAAUCUCUAUCAUCAGUGCUAAAAGCAAGCUCAUAAGAGUGUUAUAGAGGAAUAUCAUAUGUCACAAGAUAAGCUUCACACAAGAGUUUCUCCACCAGGGAAGAACAUGAAAUAAAGACAAUUGUGAAAAGACAAAAAAAAAAAAAAAAGCACUAGUUUGAAUUUAUUUUAAAAUUUAGUUUUACUUCCUUGUCACAUGUUUAUAUAUGUAUAUGCUAGGGCUGUGUUAAUGUGACUUAUAAUAUACACCAACUUGUAGAUGGAUGCAGACAUGUACCAGCAGUAAAAGUAGCAGCAGCAAUCAACAAAGAGCUUCCCUAUACAAAAUGGAGCACCUAGGCAAGAUUCAUAUAAAUGCUUUACAGUUUUACUUGUAAUUACCAUGUUUUAAAUGGAUGCAUGCUUCAUUGGAAUUCAAUUGUCAUCUUGUCCAUGGGAUGUGGGUGUUUCAUUUUAUCAAGAUAAAGGAGAUUUUUCAAAUAAAUCCCACCUGGCCCACAGAGCAAAGUAAAUACCUGACACUGGCAGGAAGGUAAGCAGUAGGAUUAAUACGACAUCGUAGCCUGAGAUUUGCAGCAUUGAACACACAGACAGUUGCAUCUAAUAAAAUAAAAUACAAUUAGAUUUGAAAUAUUUAAUGAAAUAAUAUAAGGCUAGGUUUAAGUAUGAUAUGUGAAAGAAUAUAUAAAUAUAAAAAUAAUUCAUAUUUAAAAAGAAUAAGAUGAGUAGUUUGAAAUUGUGCCUAUGUAGAAUGAGCGAACUCGCCUAUAUAUAUAUAGAGAGAGAGAGAGAUGAUUUUAGGAAACGUUUCUAACCUAAAAAAUAUUUUUGAAAAAAAAUUAGGUGUUUAACAAAAUUUUUGAAACACUUUUAAAAAUUUUAAAAACCAUUUGUACUAUUGAAAAAAUUACUUACAAUUUUUUUAGUGAAACACUUUAAAUGCGUUUGGGAGUGAUUCUACAAAGCGUUUUUAGUAUUGUUAAUACUUGAAUGAUAAAAAUUUUCAAGUAUUAGAAAUAUUAAAAACGUUUCCUAGAAUUAAUAUCAAAUGGAUUCGGAAUAAAUAAUUCUCCUAAAAAACACUUUUAAGAAAAAAUACUUCAAGUAAAGACACUUUAAAUAAAAACAUCGUCAAACAUACUUUUAAUUUCAUGGAUAAUUAAGAGAGAAGUUGGAUGAGAAUAAUCCAAUAAGAUAAAUAUUUCAAUAAAAUUAAUCAAUUUGAAAGUGUGUUAUUCCAAAUUUAUAAAGAACUAUAAUUUUAAUAGUGGUGGCCAUAAUUCCCAUGAUGCAAAAAAGUUUAUUUUAAAUAUUGUUUUCUGUUUUAAAAACUGCAAACAUGUAAAUGAACAUGAUCCUGUUUUCAUGUAAAAAAAAAUUAAAAAUUAAUAAAAUUUUCUUAAAUAAAAUUCGCAAUACUUAUUUUCACAAGGCCUUAAUAGAUCUUAUUUUUAUUAAUUUCUGAAAACCUGUCCUUAAACUUGUCACAGAUAAACCCAUUUCAUCCUUAACAAAUUAAUGUAAUUGUGUCCAAUCCAAUAUUCAAACAUAUAUACAUAAUGGUUUGUUUCAUGAUCAAAACCUGAUAACAGGCAAUGAGUUUAUUACAACGGAAACUAUGGAGAAGCGGUAGAAGGAAUUUGGAUAUUAUAGUACACAUGGAUCAUAAUUUGUUCAUCAGAAAAUUCAGUGGAAUGAUAAAAGAAAUUAUUUGUCUGAUCUCUUGGGAGCAUGAUAGUAGACUUCUUCCAGCAUGAGAUGCACUCUUUUGGACUGGGGGAGUCAGGCUUGCACUGCAUCAAUUAUCAAAACCAUGCAUUUAGGGAUCACAUCCCAUGGUAGUUAUGGAAGCAAGAACAUUAAUAAUUAAUGGUUUUAAAAAAAUCAUAAAAGUAGACAUAAUAUUGUAUGUUGUGUGUACUAGUGAAGAAGCAAUUCAAUUACCACUCUGGAGGGCAUGCAGCUAGAGC